rnacentral:rRNA from 1 species
UACGAAGGGGGCUAGCGUUGCUCGGAAUUACUGGGCGUAAAGCGCACGUAGGCGGCUUUCUAAGUCGGGGGUGAAAUCCUGGAGCUCAACUCCAGAACUGCCUUCGAUACUGGAAAGCUCGAGUCCGGGAGAGGUGAGUGGAACUGGCGAGUGUAGAGGUGAAAUUCGUAGAUAUUGGGAAGAACACCGGUGGCGAAGGCGGCUCCAGCUGGGCUCAUUACUGACGCUCAGGCGCGAUAGCGUGGGGAGCAAACGG